UUGAAAGAGUUAGUUAAGACUCGUGGAGGUUCUCGAUUGUAGUGUCCUUGUUGUAAUGGGCUUAUUUACUUUUAUUUGUCGUGAUGCGGUUUAUUUCUUGCCGAGCGAAUCCGUUAACUAGUUGUGAUAGUUCUAACGUUAGCUAGUGUUUUUAGAGCAAUUUAAUGCCUUCAAGCAAAAGCAACCAGAGGAAUCGUCAAGAAAAGUAAACGCCAUUAAGACUUGCUUGAUUUGAAAGGCAUGAAGACACAACGUGAAGAGACUGUUUGUGAAUAUGCAGUAACUUGACCGCUACAGCUGGAUCAAGGAAAACACCAGCACCUUUUCUGCAAAAUGAGGUGGUGGACAUUCAGGGUUGCUGUCAUUCAAGAAGUUAUUGACCACAUCUCCUACCCUAUUGAGGCAGUAAGAUGCAAAAUACCUGAAGAAUAUGGCACUUAUCCUGGAGUUCAUAUAAAGAAAUCCUGAACGAAGGUUGAAAAGGCUGAGAUGAAGGAAACGUCCCCAUUCCUCCAAAACUGCUGAAGUUCCUGUAUGAACAACUUCGAAAAACCAGCUGGCAUCUUGGGGAGGACGACCUCGCAUCCAGUAUGCUGCUGUGGGUGCCGCAGGAUUUCGAACUCAUUCGAUCACUUGUCUCUAUGCUUUUCGAACUGUGGCGACUAAUCGUGCCUUGCUGUGGGUCAAGCCGCUGGAUCUUCAGAUCUUCUUCGAUUUGCUUAAUCCAUCCUUUUUUUGGGUGCAAUGCGCUGGAUUCUACACUGGGUUGGACGUUUCCUCCAGAGGACUUGUGUGGUAUUCAAUUUGCAUCCAUUCUGCAUGUGUCCAAACAUUUCACUCUAUUGACUAGAAGUCUAAAGCAAUUUUUAAAAGCAGAAGCCUUAUCUUCAUUGCAUUUUGUUUGUUUCUGUAUUGUAUCGUAUUCUAUUAGUAUUGCAUUUGAAAAUGUUUUGAAUCUUGACUUUCACAGUUUAUGAAGGUUUUUUUUUUUUCCAUUUUUUUUAAAUAAUUUUGUGAGCUAUUUGGUACAACACCAAUAUUGUGCAAGUACCUGCUCGUUUUCUUUUUUUUUUUUUCAUUUCUCCCAUGUUUGUUUAAUGUCUUAACUUUUUCCACAAUACAAGCACUUUUUUAUGGUGCUUUGCACAUUGUUAAAUUGUGUGUGUCUGUCUGUGUAUAUCAAUUUUUACCCAUUGAAUGCGUUUUAAGAAUGUUUACAUGAAA